rnacentral:tRNA from 1 species
AUUAAGAUGGCUGAUUUUGAUAGGUGGUAAACUGUAAAUUUACUUAAGGGUUUAUAUAAUCCUCUUAAUA